rnacentral:lncRNA from 1 species
CUACAUAUAGGAAUACAUGAAGGAAACCUAAAAUAGACAACGAUGAGUUCCCUUAUUCCUUGGAAAACAGCGGAUCCCUCUCCCAAAAAUACAGAGAACGACAAAUCUCUAAAGAGACCUCAAGCUUCAGCCAUGAGAGGACCUUCCUAAUUCCCUUGAGCACCGGCGAUUUCCAUAUUCUCUUCUUCCUUAUUUUUCCUCGCUAGCAUUAGUCAAGAACCAGAAAAACAACUAUUUCCCUCACCAUUCGCAACCCUGUUCUUCACAACUUAAGAACACCCCUAGACAACAGAGAAACGACGGAUCUGGGUUCCCCACUUUUCCUCCAUUGCUGUUUUCUUCUCAAGCAAAAAAAAGAGCCAGUUUCUUCAGUUUCUUUUCUUUACUUCGCAGAUCAGAAAGCAAAAAAAAAAUAGGAAAAGAAUACAUUGCAUAAAGGUUAAAAAAUGAGGUGAAAUGUAAAUAAAGAGGUUGGAGUUCCGAUGCUUUGGGGUAAUUUGAAUUUUUCAGCGAGUUCCGAAUUCAUCGAAGGUUGUAUUCUGAGUCUUUCCGGGCCGAUUCACUGCUGUCUGUUUCAUUGCCGAGCUCCAUCUUUCCUUCGCCAUUUAUUUGACUGCUUUAGCUCAAAAUUUUGUCAUCUAGGUAUUUUCCCUUCCCAAAUCUGGUGUAAUUAUUUUAUAUGUAAGUUGUAUCAUAAACAUUGUAGCGUUUGUCUGCUUAUUUUCUCGUUCAACAUCGUUCUUUGUUUGAAGUCAAAUAAUCUGAUGUUUUAAAGUGGUACUUCCUAAAUUAAGUUAAAAUCAAUUAAUGUGUGUUUCUUAUCUUAUGUUUGGGCAAGCUUUAAUGUGUUAGCUUUGGUAAAUAUGAGAAUUUGGUAUGAAUUUGGGGAACAGAGUGUUCUCUCACUUUCUUCUAUACUGUAGUCAUUUUCAUUUGAGUAUUAUAAAUUUAACAGUGUUACUCGGAGUUGAG